rnacentral:rRNA from 1 species
GUAGGUGGCAAGCGUUGUCCGGAAUUAUUGGGCGUAAAGCGCGCGCAGGCGGUUCUUUAAGUCUGAUGUGAAAGCCCACGGCUCAACCGUGGAGGGUCAUUGGAAACUGGAGAACUUGAGUACAGAAGAGGAAAGCGGAAUUCCACGUGUAGCGGUGAAAUGCGUAGAGAUGUGGAGGAACACCAGUGGCGAAGGCGGCUUUCUGGUCUGUAACUGACGCUGAGGCGCGAAAGCGUGGGGGGCAAACAGGGAUUGGAUACCCUGGUAGUCCACGCCGUAAACGAUGAGUGCUAAGUGUUAGGGGGUUUCCCGCCCCUUAGUGCUGCAGCUAACGCAUUAAGCACUCCGCCUGGGGAGUACGGCCGCAAGGCUG